UACGUAGGGUGCAAGCGUUUGUCCGGAAUUAUUGGGCGUAAAGAGCGUGUAGGCGGCCCGAUUAGUCCGCUGUGAAAGUCCAGGGCUCAACCCUGGAAUGCCGGUGGAUACUGUCGGGCUAGAGUCCGGAAGAGGAGAGUGGAAUUCCUGGUGUAGCGGUGAAAUGCGCAGAUAUCAGGAGGAACACCCGUGGCGAAAGCGGCUCUCUGGGACGGUACUGACGCUGAGACGCGAAAGCGUGGGGAGCAAACAGG
rnacentral:rRNA from 1 species